rnacentral:lncRNA from 1 species
AUUUAUCAGAUACAAGUUAUCCAAGUCAUGCUCUGCUCCAAAAGAAAGCAGCAGCAGUCAUUUCCAAUAUAAUUUAGUCUUUCAAGAAACAUCUCAGCUCCGCUAGUUAAAUGUUUUUUUGUGGAGGUCGAGCAUUAAGAUUGAAUGUUAGGAGGUCGUUGAGCAUAUUUCUAACUCGUACCAAUGUGAGGCUAGGAUGAUAGGACAU